ACACAUGCAAGUCGAGGGGCAGCAUGGUCUUAGCUUGCUAAGGCCGAUGGCGACCGGCGCACGGGUGAGUAACACGUAUCCAACCUGCCGUCUACUCUUGGACAGCCUUCUGAAAGGAAGAUUAAUACAAGAUGGCAUCAUGAGUCCGCAUGUUCACAUGAUUAAAGGUAUUCCGGUAGACGAUGGGGAUGCGUUCCAUUAGAUAGUAGGCGGGGUAACGGCCCACCUAGUCUUCGAUGGAUAGGGGUUCUGAGAGGAAGGUCCCCCACAUUGGAACUGAGACACGGUCCAAACUCCUACGGGAGGCAGCAGUGAGGAAUAUUGGUCAAUGGGCGAGAGCCUGAACCAGCCAAGUAGCGUGAAGGAUGACUGCCCUAUGGGUUGUAAACUUCUUUUAUAAAGGAAUAAAGUCGGGUAUGGAUACCCGUUUGCAUGUACUUUAUGAAUAAGGAUCGGCUAACUCCGUGCCAGCAGCCGCGGUAAUACGGAGGAUCCGAGCGUUAUCCGGAUUUAUUGGGUUUAAAGGGAGCGUAGAUGGAUGUUUAAGUCAGUUGUGAAAGUUUGCGGCUCAACCGUAAAAUUGCAGUUGAUACUGGAUAUCUUGAGUGCAGUUGAGGCAGGCGGAAUUCGUGGUGUAGCGGUGAAAUGCUUAGAUAUCACGAAGAACUCCGAUUGCGAAGGCAGCCUGCUAAGCUGCAACUGACAUUGAGGCUCGAAAGUGUGGGUAUCAAACAGGAUUAGAUACCCUGGUAGUCCACACGGUAAACGAUGAAUACUCGCUGUUUGCGAUAUACUGCAAGCGGCCAAGCGAAAGCGUUAAGUAUUCCACCUGGGGAGUACGCCGGCAACGGUGAAACUCAAAGGAAUUGACGGGGG
rnacentral:rRNA from 1 species